GGGGUCAUGGCUCAGUGGCAGAGUGCCUGUUUUGCAUGCAGAAGGUGCAAAGUUCAACCCUUGGCAUCCCCA
rnacentral:tRNA from 1 species